UAAAAGUUAACUGUGUGGAGUUGAAACGUUUGCUUACGUUUGCCGCUAGGGGGGCUGUUCCAGCUGCAUACAAAUUAGAGUUA
rnacentral:pre_miRNA from 1 species